rnacentral:rRNA from 1 species
CGGGUGAGUAACACGUGAGCAACCUACCCCUGACUCUGGGAUAAGCGCUGGAAACGGCGUCUAAUACUGGAUACGAGUAGCGACCGCAUGGUCAGCUACUGGAAAGAUUUAUUGGUUGGGGAUGGGCUCGCGGCCUAUCAGCUUGUUGGUGAGGUAAUGGCUCACCAAGGCGUCGACGGGUAGCCGGCCUGAGAGGGUGACCGGCCACACUGGGACUGAGACACGGCCCAGACUCCUACGGGAGGCAGCAGUGGGGAAUAUUGCACAAUGGGCGCAAGCCUGAUGCAGCAACGCCGCGUGAGGGAUGACGGCCUUCGGGUUGUAAACCUCUUUUAGCAGGGAAGAAGCGAAAGUGACGGUACCUGCAGAAAAAGCGCCGGCUAACUACGUGCCAGCAGCCGCGGUAAUACGUAGGGCGCAAGCGUUAUCCGGAAUUAUUGGGCGUAAAGAGCUCGUAGGCGGUUUGUCGCGUCUGCUGUGAAAUCCGGAGGCUCAACCUCCGGCCUGCAGUGGGUACGGGCAGACUAGAGUGCGGUAGGGGAGAUUGGAAUUCCUGGUGUAGCGGUGGAAUGCGCAGAUAUCAGGAGGAACACCGAUGGCGAAGGCAGAUCUCUGGGCCGUAACUGACGCUGAGGAGCGAAAGGGUGGGGAGCAAACAGGCUUAGAUACCCUGGUAGUCCACCCGUAAACGUUGGGAACUAGUUGUGGGGUCCAUUCCACGGAUUCCGUGACGCAGCUAACGCAUUAAGUUCCCCGCCUGGGGAGUACGGCCGCAAGGCUAAAACUCAAAGGAAUUGACGGGGACCCGCACAAGCGGCGGAGCAUGCGGAUUAAUUCGAUGCAACGCGAAGAACCUUACCAAGGCUUGACAUAUACGAGAACGGGCCAGAAAUGGUCAACUCUUUGGACACUCGUAAACAGGUGGUGCAUGGUUGUCGUCAGCUCGUGUCGUGAGAUGUUGGGUUAAGUCCCGCAACGAGCGCAACCCUCGUUCUAUGUUGCCAGCACGUAAUGGUGGGAACUCAUGGGAUACUGCCGGGGUCAACUCGGAGGAAGGUGGGGAUGACGUCAAAUCAUCAUGCCCCUUAUGUCUUGGGCUUCACGCAUGCUACAAUGGCCGGUACAAAGGGCUGCAAUACCGCGAGGUGGAGCGAAUCCCAAAAAGCCGGUCCCAGUUCGGAUUGAGGUCUGCAACUCGACCUCAUGAAGUCGGAGUCGCUAGUAAUCGCAGAUCAGCAACGCUGCGGUGAAUACGUUCCCGGGUCUUGUACACACCGCCCGUCAAGUCAUGAAA